GCUAUUUGCAGAUUCUUGGAGACCCAGGGUUUCACCAUCCCCUGACUAAAGGGUCCUUCUACAGUAGCCCACCCAGCCCCACCCGGCCUGAUGGCACUCUUUCCUCCACUCCACAGCUCAUCCAGACCAGCAAAGUAGCUUUCCUCCUCCCUUUCUUUACAAUUUUUUCAAAUAAAAAAUUGAGGAACAAAAGAGCUGCAGCCAAGUCCCCAGCGUCCCAUGCUGGGGACAGCCUCCCUGAGGAUGGAAAGGGCCUGCCCCUUCCACAGCUGGCCUCUCUCCCCGCUGGCUCAGAGCCCCAGGGCAGGGACUUGCUACUCCUUAACAACCACCUUGCGGCUCAGGCUGGGGAAUCCCAGGAGCCACAGGGUCUGCCUGGGCGAAGUCACCUGGGUGCACCUUCCCCGCUCCAGACUGAAGGCAUUUUCAAGAAGAGCUGCGCUUGUGGUCUGCGGGGCACGCCCCCGCCCCACCCCCACCUUAGGCCUCUGUGUGCUGCUCUCUGUCUCUCUUUCUCCUCCAGCUCCACCAGGCAGAGUUUAGAGGAAAGGAAAGCAGCCCAGCCCAGAAUCCUGAGCAGCUGAGGGGUCUCCCUGCCCGCAGGACAGAGGCCAGGGUGCCUUCGAGAGAGAGCUCAGAACAGGUUGGGGCUCUCUUUUGCCUGGGGACAUGGAUGUGGAGGAUUCCCUCUGAGAUGUCAGUGGACCCUUGCAACUUUCACAGCCAGAAGCUCAGCUCAACUCUUGGUCACCUUCAGUGUCCCAUCUUUUCUAGAUUUAAAUACUUCAGCAAAUUACAACAUGAGUUUGGGAUGGUGGUGAGCAGGUGGGGAAAGCCUUCCUUGGGGGAUUUUAGAAUGCCUUUUGUCUGCUGCUGGUUAGCUCCUCAAGGUCCUUACCUGGACACCAAGGACCACUUCCCUAAGUAAAUGAGGCGGUGACAUUCAGGAGUACCUCGGAGGCCACCAGCAGUGGGGAAGGGGAGGUCGUGCUCAGUCCUGUUCCUGGGUUGGCAGAGUUGGAAUGCAAAGGAAAAAGUAAUGAAUGUAGGAAACGAUACUCAUGUUAUUGAUGUAGUUUGGAUUUUUUCUUUUAAAAACCAAGAUGAGGCUAAUAAAACUGAUGUAUUAAUAACCUGA
rnacentral:lncRNA from 1 species